rfam:Ixodes scapularis strain Wikel colony gcontig_1108379133396, whole genome shotgun sequence.
CCCUGGUUAGUUCAGUUGGUUGAGCGCUCCAAUGGAAAUGGAAAGGUUCCGGGUUCGAUACCCGGACCAGGCG